AAAGCAGGUCUGCAAUUGCAGCACUCCAUUUCAUUAGAGUGUUGUCAUUAAUCCUGCUGAGAGUAUCUCUGCUGCAGAGCCCUGAUUCCAGCUCACCAUGGUGGUGAUGAGGAAGCUCUGUAGCUGAACAUU